rnacentral:rRNA from 1 species
UACUCCGUGCCAGCAGCCGCGGUAAUACGGGGGAUGCAAGCGUUAUCCGGAAUCAUUGGGCGUAAAGCGCCUGUAGGUUGUCUAAUAAGUCUGUUGUUAAAGACUAGGGCUUAACCCUGGGAAAGCGAUGGAAACUACUAGGCUUGAGUAUGGUAGGGGUAGAGGGAAUUUCUAGUGUAGCGGUGAAAUGCGUAGAUAUUAGAAAGAACACCGGUGGCGAAAGCGCUCUACUGGGCCAUUACUGACACUGAGAGGCGAAAGCUAGGGGAGCAAAAGGGAUUAGAUACCCCUGUAGUCCUAGCCGUAAACGAUGGAUACUAGGUGUUGUAUUAUUAUACAGUAUCGUAGCUAACGCGUUAAGUAUCCCGCCUGGGGAGUACGCUCGCAAGGGUGAAACUCAAAGGAAUUGACGGGGGCCCGCACAAGCGGUGGAGCAUGUGGUUUAAUUCGAUGCAACGCGAAGAACCUUACCAGGGCUUGACAUACUACAAAUCUUUUUGAGACGAAAGAGUGCCUUCGGGAAUGUAGAUACAGGUGGUGCAUGGCUGUCGUCAGCUCGUGUCGUGAGAUGUUGGGUUAAGUCCCGCAACGAGCGCAACCCUCGUUUUUAGUUGCCAAUUUAUUGGGAUUUCUAGAGAGACUGCCGGUGAUAAACCGGAGGAAGGUGAGGAUGACGUCAAGUCAGCAUGCCCCUUAUGCCCUGGGCCACACACGUGCUACAAUGACAAAGACAAAGAGUCGCAAAUUCGCGAGAACUAGCUAAUCUCAUAAACUUUGUCCAAGUUCGGGAUUGUAGGCUGCAACUCGC